AAGUCGUAACAAGGUUUCCGUAGGUGAACCUGCGGAAGGAUCAUUACUGCUUGCUCAUGGCCGCCUGGAGUUCUGCUCCGGCGCGGUACGGCAACACUACCCUUGUCUAUACAUACCUUUUGUUAUUUCCCUCGGCGGGGUCACACCCGUCGAUGGGGACACUAUAAACCCUUGUAUCUUAAGCAUCAAACUUCUGAAACAAAACAAAAUAAUCACAACUUUCAACAAUGGAUCUCUUGGUUCUG
rnacentral:misc_RNA from 2 species